rnacentral:rRNA from 1 species
CCCCUAGACGUUCUGGGCCGCACGCGCGCUACACUGAUGCAUUCAACGAGCCUAUCCUUGACCGACAGGUCCGGGUAAUCUUUGAAUCUGCAUCGUGACGGGGAUAGAUUAUUGCAAUUAUUAAUCUUCAACGAGGAAUGCCUAGUAGGCGCAAGUCAUCAGCUUGCGUCGAUUACGUCCCUGCCCUUUGUACACACCGCCCGUCGCUCCUACCGAUUGGGUGUGCUGGUGAAAUGUUCGGAUCGGCCGUUUGUCGCGGUUUCCGCGGCUCGUGGCUGAGAAGUUCAUUAAACCCUCCCACCUAGAGGAAGGAGAAGUCGUAACA